rnacentral:tRNA from 1 species
GCCUGGGUGGCUCAGUCGGUUAAGCGUCUGACUUCAGCUUAGGUCAUGAUCUCGCGGUCCGUGGGUUCAAGCCCCGCGUCGGGCU